UCCCCAGUGGUCCAAUGGUCAGGACUCCACACUUUUCACUUCCAGGGCCUGGGUUCAAUCCCUGGUUGGGGAA
rnacentral:tRNA from 1 species